GAACAGUAUGUAAGAAAUGUAUAUCAAUUAAACAUAAAAUGGCCCUGAUAUGUCACUAGACAUCAAGAAAUCAUUUUCAUUUCAAAUACUUAUAUUACUGACAACAGUGGUCUGGCCAGGAUAUUGUCAUUUAAAAAGUGGAGUUGCAGCCCUCAACUGAUGUUUAUGUUGUCAUUUUGUGUAUUGGCCACCAGUUGUGUGAUUGCAAUACCAGUUUUGUCCACAAUCCUACAUACUGUUCCUUUAACUAAAAUAAACCAGGCUUGAUGACAUACGCGACCUCCAGAGGCUGCAGCCUUCCCUUUGAGAAACCGCCCAUGCUUUACUAACUGAGCAACGAAAUGAGUUAAUUAAAAAACAAAAUAUGUAGAAAAAUAAGUAUUCUGACAAAAAUAUAACUAAAAUAAACUCGAAACACACCAACCAGAAGGUCUGCAGGCCACAGCAGGCCUAAUAUGUUGUGACAGCAUAACCGCAGCCUCACACAUCUGCCUUUACAAUCGCUACGACCUUGACCCUGCGUCCCACCUGACUGACCUGUGAUGUCACAAGUGGGCGGAGAGAUCGAGCGAAUGAGAAAGAGCAGAUAAGAUGCGGAUUACUCGUGUACCUCCAGCACAGGAAGUUAUUUAUCAUAACAUGCUAGAGAGAUAUUGACUCCAUACUGAAGCAAUUAGGGCCUGGGGUUGUUUCAUCAUACUUCAUAACCUGGACUGUGGGUUUUUGGAGCGUGGCGCUGCACAGUAAUUGAAUUUUGAUGAAACACACAUGAUGCCUGACCCUGAAUAAGUACGGCGAACGCUGGGCCUGAAUUUGUGCGGGAUCUCCCGGCCAAGAACUUGCCAAAAACAGGAUAUACUUCAGUUUAGAAGAUUGGGGGAAAGUUGGGGUGUAUGUAUGAGAUGCUUAUACAAUCAGGGACAGCUGGCGAACAAAGAUUCUUUGUUGUCUCUAUCGGCGAGGAUGAGCUCUGCCCAUGUUUGAUUCUGAGUCAAACAGCGCCGAUCACGCGCACAAAAUCAAAACUGUUUUGACACCGUCACACCGUCCAGCUAAAGCAGAUGCCUCGGCGACGCGGGAUAUGAGCGCAACUCGACACCAACGAAGAAGAAACUAAUUUUAACUGAUUGCUUUUUCUCUCAAGAGAAAUUUCAGCUCGUGGUUUUAAUUUUCCUCUUGGAUUCCACUAUUAGCGCAUGCGGUGCGUUGAUCAGAAACGCGCUAUGGAGGAUCGCACGGAUCCGCAGUCUCAACCGUAUCACUCCGUUACAGUAGAAAUGUGUUCAUCAUUUUCUUUACAGGCUGUCGAGAGUGACAAGGACAGCUUGCUUGGCACGGUGUCAAGCAGAAAUGCUUGUCAAUACCACGAGUGUAUGAGCACUUCAUUCAUGAGUGCAUCUGCACUCCGGUGCGCUUGCUGUGAGAGAGAGAGCGCGCGAGGCCUUUUCUCAAACCGAAGGCUGCAGCUUCCGGAGGUCACAUUUGCAGGCUGCAUACGUCAUCAAGACGGUCUUAUUUCAGAUUAUUAACAAUUAUAAAGUUGACUGUUAUUCUUAAUUAAUCGUAAAUUGUUGUAAUAUGCUUAUGACUUGCGGAUGUAAUGCUCAGUUAACUGAAAUAAACCAGGCUUGAUGACGUAUGCAGCCGUAUAUGCGACCUCCGCGGGCUGCAGCUUUUAGAGAGAGAGAGCAGUACAUGGGUUGUCAGUACCCGUGAUUACAUUUCAUGACUGUGGAAUUCUGGGAAAAAGCUGCAAGGAUUCUUCUGUCUGUGGGAUUAUGCAGCUGUGCUCCUGCUCUCCGAUCAGAUCACUUCCUCUUCCUGUCAUGUCAAACACAUCUGCUCAACUGUUUUUCUAAUCACUACACAAUAUCUGGACACUUGCAAUUAUUGUCAUUGCAUUAAACACAAACAAAGGACGCUAGACCAUUUUUCCAAAAUGAAUACAUUUGUGAUUAUUAAGAAUUUUUAAGAAUGAAUGCAAUUAAAAAUGUUUACUGUCCCAAAUGAGGUUCACACAAAUGACGUUUGUGCUAAUGCAGUGCUCCACCAAUUGAACUAGGAACAUUAUAACUAUAUGUAACAAAUAUGUGACCCUGGACCAAAAAAAAAACUACUUUGAUAUCAAUUAAGAUUUGAAGAGUUUCGUUGCAAAAUGAGAUAACUCUGUUUUUUUAAUUUUUCAGAAAUCUUGUUUUUUGGUUGUGCAUUCCAAUUAAUAUCAAUUCAACUGCAGUUGGUUUGUUUUGAUUUAAACCUUCAUAACUUAAAAAAUACAGCUAAGUAGCACCAUAAAACAAAAUAAUAACAUGAUAACAUAAUAAUUAACAUGUUUUGACAAAAAUGUUAAAAACGGAGUUAUCUCGUUUUGCAACGAAACUCUUCAUUUAUACAU